rnacentral:lncRNA from 1 species
UUAAAUUAAUCACACAAAAAUUAAUACAGUAUAAUGUAGUACCAAACAUUAUGCAGUAUUAUUAUAAUACAGUACUAAUAUAAUACAGUGUGCCAAAUGCACCCAUAGAGCACUAUAGCACAGUUGCAGAAGUGGUUUGGUUAUUGUCUUAGCUCCCUAAUUUAAAGCUGCAACUCAUAUCUAAACCAAGGAUACAAUAGGAUGACAACCCAAGCGUCACUGCCUUUGUGUUUGAUGAAAUGAAUCAGGUGCUCGAUCAAAUGUCUCACUGGAACUUCAACAACACUGAUUGAAAUAGUGACUCAGCAAGAAUUAAGGAUAUGAUCUUGGGAGAUGACGGUAGGUGGCCAUCUGAUAAAACAGGCAUCAGCAGUCCCUUGUAAAGAUAGAGAAUUAUAGACAUUAGAUCAAAUUAGUUUUAUAAAUAGGAUCAAGUUCACAGCUGAAAUUUUACACUACUUGACGAAGAAGAAACAAUACUUGGGAAAUUAUGAAAUCAGUAGGCUAAUUUUACAAUUUAUACGUGCGUAAUUCUUAAACCAGCUUUGCCCACACGAUAGAUCUUUAGGGCGUAUUAUAAAGCUAUAAUCAUGAACAUUGUGUAGCCCUAAAGUCUUUGUGCCCAAUAAAGAGAUACAACAAUGCUCUUUCGUUUUAGUUUUAUGCCCACUAACUAAUCAAAUCAUGGAGCAAGAUAUUUUUUUUGUUAUUUUGGUGUAUACUUUACUUUUGAAAGUGGAAGACUCUUUCUCGGUCCAAAUCACUUCAGCCAUAAUGUGAAAAUUGAAACUUUAGAGCAUGACAUAAAUUGCCACUUUCUCGAGGAGAAUGAAAAGGCCCGAUAACUAUACAAUUUUCAUAGAGUGAAGCUUUAAACAACUAUUAAGAUCUUCAUAACAUACAUUUUGAAUUUUAUUUCUUAAAUUCCCUCAUUUUAGUUUAUUAAAAAAAAUGCAGUAAUAUUAGGAGCUAGUAAUA